CUCAGACAGGAUUCGAGGUCCCGCCCUUCAUUCCUCCACAUUUGUUUACACCUGAUUGCUUCAGAACAGAGCAGGAUGUUGAAUGUGUGCUGCGCGCCAGCGGCUCGAGACUCACAGGUGGGCCACGUGGCCAAGGAGGACGGAGCCGCGAUGGACUUGGCGCGUCUCCGAGAGCUUUAUAACCGGAGUAAAGAGACACAAAGGCUGCAAACUCGAGUUAUUUUGAGGGGCAAAGCAUCAAAGAAAGAAGAUGUUGGAGGUAAAUCUCUUGUAAACGUGGUUCCAAUUAGCCAGGAAGUGAGAAAUUGCACACCGUUUGAGGAACAGAUGCCCGUUAAACGCAUACUGUUUAAUUUAGCCGCUGACUUGGACAGUGACAAUAUUUUGUGGCGCACGCACCUGGGGAUGCAUCGGAUGAGCUCCAGCGUGCAAAGGGGAGGCGAAAAAGCUCCUGCAGGAAGAGUGGGCGGCCAGGAAUCCGCACAGACGCUCAUAUGCGUGGAGCGCAACAAGGCCUACGAAGAAGCCACUCGUGCGGAGAAGUCCGGUGAAACGCUGAGUGAACGAAGAAGUGCCGACGCAGACUGCUGGAAGCUGAUCGGUCCAACCCCCUUGUCCAGACGGCUGAGACAGUUGAGUUUAUCAGGGAACCAGUCACAAGGGAUGUCGUCCAGCUCGCAGCACUACCCCUUCCCUCAGCGCAAAUGGCAGAAGAAAUCUGAGGCUGCCAGGAGGCUUGGGAUGUAUUCAGUCACUGGAGAAGAAUGAAAUGCAGGUAGCUGGUAGUGUAGUGGUUAGAGGUGCUGCUUUUGAACCCAAAAGGUCAUGGGUUUGAAUCUCAUCUCAGGCUGUAGUACCCUUAAGCAAGGUACCUACCUGAAAUUGCCCAGUUGUAUAAGUGGGUGAAAAAAUGUAAGUAUAUGGCAGUAUAAAGUUACAUUUACUCAUUUAGCUGAUACUUUUCCUCCAAGGUACUUAAAAUGUUAAGGUAUUUAUCCAUCUGGGCAAUUUUAGUGGAGCAUUACAUUCAUUUAUUUAGCAGCCAUUUUUCUCCAAAGCAACUUCCAAUGAACUCUAUGUAGUGUUAUCAGCCCACACAUCUUAUUCACCGCAGUGACUUACACUGCUUACAUUGGGUCACUCAUCCAUACAUCAGUGGAACACUGGGUGAACCUGAACAGCAUGUCUUUGGACUAGGGGAGGAAAUCAGGCAGACACAGAGAAAACAUGCAAACUCCACACACACUGAGCAGGGAUUGAACCCCUGUCCUCUUGCACCACCCAGGUGCUGUGAGACAGCAGUGCUACUCACUGUGCCACCCACUAUUUUUUAGGGUAAAUAUCUUGCUCAAGGGUACUACAGCUGGAGGUGAGACUCAAACCAGUGACCUCGGUGUCCAAACUGAAGUAACUCUAACCACUACACUACCAGCUGUCUUUGUGGGAAAGAAAGAUGAAAGAGUGCCAAGCAAAAACAUGACAGUCUGUUCAACACACACUGAGAAAUGUGAUGCAAGACCCAGAAAAAAAGCACAUCUUUAUGCUAAUCAGAUGUUCAUUUGAUGUCCAGUACACUCAGGUCCUCUGGUCUGUGUUUGUAGCAAUUAUAUUGUAACGACCCGCAUUACUGUUUUAGGUGGGAAACCUGUUCAGUGUAAAUAGUUGCAUUGUGGGUAAUUUGUAAAUAGCAUGUGUAACCAGUAGGGGCAAUUCUGGGGGAAAUGAUGGGGUGACUGUCUGCCAGAGGAGGGAGAGGAGAGUCUAGGAG
ensembl:lncRNA